GGGGAAUAUUGGACAAUGGGCGGAAGCCUGAUCCAGCAACGCCGCGUGAGGGAUGACGGCCUUCGGGUUGUAAACCUCUUUCAGCACAGACGAAGUUGCUCUCACGUGUGGGGGUGGUGACGGGAUGUGCAGAAGAAGCACCGGCCAACUACGUGCCAGCAGCCGCGGUAGUACGUAGGGUGCGAGCGUUGUCCGGAAUUAUUGGGCGUAAAGGGCUCGUAGGCGGUUUGUCGCGUCGGGAGUGAAAUCCACUGGCUUAACUGGUGGCUUGCUUUCGAUACGGGCAGACUGGAGGUAUGCAGGGGAGAACGGAAUUCCUGGUGUAGCGGUGAAAUGCGCAGAUAUCAGGAGGAACACCGGUGGCGAAGGCGGUUCUCUGGGCAUGUCCUGACGCUGAGGAGCGAAAGUGUGGGGAGCGAACA
rnacentral:rRNA from 1 species